rnacentral:rRNA from 1 species
AUUGAACGCUGGCGGUAGGCCUUACACAUGCAAGUCGAACGGUAGCGGACCUUCAGGUUCCUACGAGGGGCGAACGGUGGAGGAAUACAGCGGAACAUGCCCGAACGUGGGUGAUAGUGGGGCGUAAGCUUUGCUAAUACCCGAUACUAUCGACGAAGAAAAACAGGUGAACGCAAGGGCUUUUGCGACCGUGCGGGCCGAUGUCAGAUUAGGUAGGUGGAGGGAUAAAAGCGCACCAAGCCGACGAUCUGUAGCUGGUCUGAGAGGAUGAUCAGCCACACUGGGACUGAGACACGGCCCAGACUCCUACGGGAGGCAGCAGUGGGGAAUUUUGGACAAUGGGCGCAAGCCUGAUCCAGCCAUGCCGCGUGCAGGAUGAAGGCCUUCGGGUUGUAAACUGCUUUUGUACGGAACGAAAAGCAUUAUUUUAAUGCCGGACGGUUCUGACGGUACCGUAAGAAUAAGCACCGGCUAACUACGUG